rnacentral:snRNA from 1 species
UGACGUUUAACAUCUGACACAUCCUCUAUAUGAGGACUACAUAUUAAAUAGACUUUUAGAACAGGGAGACGGAAGAGGGGCUUGCUCCCUCCGCUCCAUGCAUCGACCUGGUAUUGCAGUAUCUCCGGGAAUGGUUG